UUCGACGACCGGGAAUCGAACCCGGGUCAACUGCUUGGGAGGCAGCUAGGCUAACCAUUAUACCACAGUCGC
rnacentral:tRNA from 1 species